CGGCAUAUGCUGUCACUUACAGAUGGGCCCGCGGCGCAUUAGCUAGUUGGUGAGGUAAAGGCUCACCAAGGCAACGAUGCGUAGCCGACCUGAGAGGGUGAUCGGCCACACUGGGACUGAGACACGGCCCAGACUCCUACGGGAGGCAGCAGUAGGGAAUCUUCCGCAAUGGACGAAAGUCUGACGGAGCAACGCCGCGUGAGUGAUGAAGGUUUUCGGAUCGUAAAACUCUGUUGUUAGGGAAGAACAAGUGCCAUUCGAAUAGGUUGGCACCUUGACGGUACCUAACCAGAAAGCCCCGGCUAACUACGUGCCAGCAGCCGCGGUAAUACGUAGGGGGCAAGCGUUGUCCGGAAUUAUUGGGCGUAAAGCGCGCGCAGGCGGUCCUUUAAGUCUGAUGUGAAAGCCCACGGCUUAACCGUGGAGGGCCAUUGGAAACUGGAGGACUUGAGUACAGAAGAGGAGAGUGGAAUUCCACGUGUAGCGGUGAAAUGCGUAGAGAUGUGGAGGAACACCAGUGGCGAAGGCGACUCUCUGGUCUGUAACUGACGCUGAGGUGCGAAAGCGUGGGUAGCGAACAGGAUUAGAUACCCUGGUAGUCCACGCCGUAAACGAUGAGUGCUAGGUGUUAGGGGGUUUCCGCCCCU
rnacentral:rRNA from 1 species